rnacentral:tRNA from 1 species
GCCAGUGUGGUGUAGUGGUUUGAACACUGGACAACAACUCUGGAGACCAGGGUUCAAAUUCCUGCUUGGCCA